rnacentral:rRNA from 1 species
CAGCCCUUGACAUGGGACUCGCCGGGAGCAGAGACGCUCCCUUCGGUUCGGCCGGAGUCCGCACAGGUGCUGCAUGGCUGUCGUCAGCUCGUGUCGUGAGAUGUUGGGUUAAGUCCCGCAACGAGCGCAACCCUCGUCUCCAGUUGCCAUCAGGUUAUGCUGGGCACUUUGGAGAAACUGCCGGUGACAAGCCGGAGGAAGGUGGGGAUGACGUCAAGUCCUCAUGGCCCUUACGGGCUGGGCUACACACGUGCUACAAUGGCGGUGACAAUGGAAUGCGAUGGGGCGACCCGGAGCCGAUCCUAAAAAACCGUCUCAGUUCGGAUUGCACUCUGCAACUCGAGUGCAUGAAGUUGGAAUCGCUAGUAAUCGUGGAUCAGCGCGCCACGGUGAAUA